rnacentral:rRNA from 1 species
AUUGAACGCUGGCGGCAGGCCUAACACAUGCAAGUCGAGCGAGCGGCGGACGGGUGAGUAAUGUAUGGGGAACUGCCCGAUAGAGGGGGCUCACUACUGGAAAAGGUGGCUAAUACCGCAUACUAUCGGAUGAACCCAGAUGGGAUUAGCUAGUAGGUGGGGUAAAGGCUCACCUGGGCGAUGAUCUCUAGCUGGUCCGAGAGGAUGAUCAGCCAAACGGGGACGGAGACACGGCCCAGACUCCUACGGAAGCAAGCAGUGGGAAAUAUUGCACAAUGGGCACAAGCCUGAUGCAGCCAUGCCGCGUGUAUGAAGAAGGCUUUAGGGUUGUAAAGUACUUUCAGCGGGGAGGCGUUACCCGCAGAAGAAGCACCGGCUAACUCCGUGCCAGCAGCCGCGGUAAUAC